UAAAGGUUUAACAUGGUGUAUACGUGAAGGAAACGUUGAUAUACAAGCGAUAUACGGACUUAGAUGUUAUUGUAAGUUUGGGGCUGUUUGGUAUAAUUUUCGUAGCUGUUUUGUGAUGAUAUUUUGGGGCUGUUUGGUAUAAUUUUCGUAGCUGUUUUGUGAUGAUAUUUUGGGGUUGUUUGGUAUAAUUUUCGUGGCUGUUUUGUGAUGAUAUUUUGGGGGCUGUUUGGUAUGAUUUUCGUGGCUGUUUUGUGAUGAUAUUUUGGGGGUUGUUUGGUAUGAUUUUCGUGGCUGUGUGUGUUGUUGAUAUUGUUGUGAUUAUUUUGGGUUGUUGGUGAGUUGGGACGGAGUAAGAAAAAUAAGGGAAAUGUUUCCGGAUUUUCGUUAGAUUGUUUGUUAGCUUGCAAUGAGUAGUAAAGAAUGACUUUCAUCUAAUUGUGGCGUAAUUAUUGCCUUGUUAUAGAUUACAAACCUGGGCAGUAGAUUUUGGACGAAUAGACUCGCUUCAAGGGUCAAAUAUUCUACGUGGAAGCUGGAUUGUCACUACACAAUGAGGAUCAACGAUUCUGCAUCUUAGCCUGCUCUAGCUGUAAAAAACUGUUCCCAAGGCAUUUUUCUCAAAGAGUUUUUUACUGCACAACUUGCCAUCAAACAACACAUCUUACACCGAGAUGCCAAUUUGAAGUCACUAUCACCGACAACACUGGGUCUACAACAACAAUUAUUUCGGAUAAAACUGGAGAAGAACUGCUGUCUCUCACUCCAGAGGAAAUUUACGACAUACGCUGUGCCAAGAAGCAAAGUUUGCCCCUGAUAAAUGUGCGAAACAAACUUAUGGGCAUCACAUUCAAUAUCCAAAUGAAGAGAUCAUUUGCGAGAAAUCAAGAUACCGUUCCAGGAAAGUUGUUUAUUUUGUCACUCAGGGACAAAGAGAGAAUAAACAAUUCACCGUUGUCAACAACUGGUAUGGGCUCUACAUAAAGCAGCAAACGCAAGCUUCACCAACUUGCCAUGAAGGAAGGAACCACAUCCAGGAAAGACAAUACUUCCGAUCAGAAAUAGAGCAUGCGAUUGAAGUCCCUGAAAAGAGACUAAAAGGUAUUGAAAUCCUUUCGUUUGUUGGUUGGUCGCCGCUUCUCUUCCUCUCUGCUGUAAGUCAGCAUGAGCUUAAAUAUCACAGAAACACAUUUUUAAUUUAGUAUACUCAAGGAUAUAGUUAUCUCCAAUUAUAAUUACCGUUGGGGAACUUAGCAAAAUUUCAUAUUGCUUCUAAGCUUCGGUGGAUGUUUCUCUGUGUACCUUUGUAAUUUGUGUGUAGCUAGAAUUUACAACAUUACUUUCAUACUUAAAUGACUACCUGCUCAA